AUUACCAAGUGGGAGACAACCUAUAACACUAACACACUGGUACAACACUGCAACUUCAAAAGAGCACGUUCUUUUGUCUGGGCUGUAGCACUCAUGGCUGUUUUAAAGGAACGGGCAGUUCAGCGGUAACUACAGCUCAACACUGGUCUGGACCGCUAACAAAAUGGAAGAUUUUUGUCCGGUUUCAUCCUGCAGUAUUCAAGACAUCGAAACCAUUACAACUCCAAAACGUUCGGUCUGAUUGGGAAUGACGGGCCAAGCAGGGAGGGACAGACAUUGCCACAUUUUAUUGCUCAAGAAUAAAAGGUCCAUUGCCUUAAAAUAAGGAGUCUCUUUUUUGGAUUACAAGGAUGCCAACUGCCAUUUCAUUUGCCCAUAGGCUUCUAUUUAAACAACCAGACUGAGUAAUCAAAUAAAAGCACCAUUUGAAA